GAUGAACGCUGGCGGCGUGCUUAACACAUGCAAGUCGAACGGUGAACGAGGGAGCUUGCUCCCUCCGGAUCAGUGGCGAACGGGUGAGUAACACGUGAGCAAUCUGCCCUGGACUCUGGGAUAAGCGUUGGAAACGACGUCUAAUACCGGAUACGAGACGUGGGGGCAUCCCCAACGCCUGGAAAGAACUUCGGUCCAGGAUGAGCGCGCGGCCUAUCAGCUUGUUGGUGAGGUAACGGCUCACCAAGGCGACGACGGGUAGCCGGCCUGAGAGGGUGACCGGCCACACUGGGACUGAGACACGGCCCAGACUCCUACGGGAGGCAGCAGUGGGGAAUAUUGCACAAUGGGCGAAAGCCUGAUGCAGCAACGCCGCGUGAGGGACGACGGCCUUCGGGUUGUAAACCUCUUUUAGCAGGGAAGAAGCGAAAGUGACGGUACCUGCAGAAAAAGCACCGGCUAACUACGUGCCAGCCGCCGCAGUAAUAC
rnacentral:rRNA from 1 species